UACGGGGGGAGCAAGCGUUGUUCGGAUUUACUGGGCGUAAAGGGCGCGUAGGCGGUCAGCACAAGUCAGUUGUGAAAUCUCCGGGCUUAACUCGGAAAGGUCAACUGAUACUGUGCGACUAGAGUGCAGAAGGGGCAACUGGAAUUCUCGGUGUAGCGGCGAAAUGCGUAGAUAUCGGGAGGAACACCUGUGGCGAAGGCGGGUCUCUGGACAGUUCCUGACGCUGAGGCACGAAGGCCAGGGGAGCAAACGGG
rnacentral:rRNA from 1 species